rnacentral:rRNA from 1 species
UAGGGAAUCUUCGGCAAUGGGGGGAACCCUGACCGAGCAACGCCGCGUGAGUGAAGAAGGUUUUCGGAUCGUAAAGCUCUGUUGUUAAGGAAGAACGAGUGUGAGAAUGGAAAGUUCAUGCUGUGACGGUACUUAACCAGAAAGGGACUGCUAACUACGUGCCAGCAGCCGCGGUAAUACGUAGGUCCCGAGCGUUGUCCGGAUUUAUUGGGCGUAAAGCGAGCGCAGGCGGUUAGAUAAGUCUGAAGUUAAAGGCAGUGGCUCAACCAUUGUAGGCUUUGGAAACUGUUUAACUUGAGUGCAGAAGGGGAGAGUGGAAUUCCAUGUGUAGCGGUGAAAUGCGUAGAUAUAUGGAGGAACACCGGUGGCGAAAGCGGCUCUCUGGUCUGUAACUGACGCUGAGGCUCGAAAGCGUGGGGAGCGAACAGG